GAUUAGAUACCCUGGUAGUCCAUGCCGUAAACGUUGGGCACUAGGUGUGGGGACCAUUCCACGGUUUCCGCGCCGCAGCUAACGCAUUAAGUGCCCCGCCUGGGGAGUACGGCCGCAAGGCUAAAACUCAAAGGAAUUGACGGGGGCCCGCACAAGCGGCGGAGCAUGCGGAUUAAUUCGAUGCAACGCGAAGAACCUUACCAAGGCUUGACAUGUUCUCGAUCGCCGUAGAGAUACGGUUUCCCCUUUGGGGCGGGUUCACAGGUGGUGCAUGGUUGUCGUCAGCUCGUGUCGUGAGAUGUUGGGUUAAGUCCCGCAACGAGCGCAACCCUCGUUCCAUGUUGCCAGCACGUAAUGGUGGGGACUCAUGGGAGACUGCCGGGGUCAACUCGGAGGAAGGUGAGGACGACGUCAAAUCAUCAUGCCCCUUAUGUCUUGGGCUUCACGCAUGCUACAAUGGCCGGUACAAUGGGUUGCGAUACUGUGAGGUGGAGCUAAUCCCAAAAAGCCGGUCUCAGUUCGGAUUGGGGUCUGCAACUCGACCCCAUGAAGUCGGAGUCGCUAGUAAUCGCAGAUCAGCAACGCUGCGGUGAAUACGUUCCCGGGCCUUGUACACACCGCCCGUCAAGUCACGAAAGUUGGUAACACCCG
rnacentral:rRNA from 1 species